AGUGAUGAUAACACAGGUCACUGUUGCUCGGGUGUAGAAAGCAAGUUACUGCAACUGCUGUGAAAGACUCGUAAAAGCUUUCUAUUAUCGCAUGGCCUUUUCAGCUUUUCCUAGUUACCCUAGUCAGAAAUGUUGUUUCAUAAAAUUCGCAACUUCAGAGGAUGCUAAGAGGGCCACCAGAGGAGCAUUGCACAAUCAAUACACUUUACCCGGGGUGAGUUUAAUAAAUGGUUCUCUUCCAGCACUUGCAACUUUACCGUCUCCAGUCCCUCAAGUGCCAGUUUCCUAGCCUCAGGUUGCACUUCCUCGUUACUGGACGAACAGACCUCCCCUGAAGGGCACAAUACUAUUAUAAUACUGUAACAAGUGAAAGCAGUGGGAGAAGCAGAAAUUACCUCAUCCACAAAAAUCUCCUGUUCAACAAUUCAAUCUCAGUCAAAAACGCAGGCGCAACUGCAGAUCCUAUCUACCCAACAAGCCCCUCGGUCACAACAAAGUCAGAUUCAACCGCAGAUGCAUCACCAGCAACAGUUGCAGCAACGUUCUUUAGUUUCACAGGAACAUGUUUUAGAGGAUAAAAGCAAGAUGCCAGCCAAAGCUUUGUUUACUUGAGGAGAGAAGGACGAUGCCACAAAGGAAGGAAAAUGAGAGAUACACAAUGGUUGAUGCGGCAAAUUGUAUGGUAGAGAUGCAUGCUAACAAGAGGCAAGAGCAGAAGUCUGAGAGUGCUGCACUGUGCUCUUCCUCUGUGGAAAAGGGGAAAAGUAAAUGAAAGGCAAUUGCUAAAUACUACCUCCAUUCCUAAAAAAGAGGUACUACCACUUUUCAUUUUAGCCUAAAAAUAGGCCGAACUGAUAAAAAUAAAAAAUAACUCUUUUUUAGGAACGGAGGGAGUAAUAAAUUACUUUUAUUACUAUUUAUUUGUUUGUGAAUCUUAAGAAGUGUACUUUUCUUUCUAAGGUUACAUUUUUGGAAGAUGGGGUAUCUGAUAAAGGCAUUCAUGUUGAUCCUUCUAAAAUUAAAGCUAUUCAAGAUUGGCAUAUUCUUACUUCAGUUAAAGAUAUUUCAAGCAAUUUUCAUGGCUUGCCUUCAUUUUAUGGAAGAUUUAUUAGAAAUUUCAGUAUUAUUGCAGCAUCCAUUACUGUAUGUCUCAAACAAGACAGAUUUGUUUGGACUGAAGAAACUGAUAAGAGUUUUUAUGUUCUUAAGCAGAAGUUGUGUACAGCUCCGAUUCUAGCUUUGCCUGACUUUUCUAAACCUUUUGUUAUUGAUUGUGAUGCUUCAAUCAUUGGCGUUAAGGCCAUCUAGUUGCUUUUCACAA